rnacentral:rRNA from 1 species
CGUGCAGGCGGUUUGGUAAGUUGGAUGUGAAAGCUCCCGGCUCAACUGGGAGAGGUCGUUCAAUACUGCCAGACUCGAGGAUGGUAGAGGGAGGUGGAAUUCCCGGUGUAGUGGUGAAAUGCGUAGAUAUCGGGAGGAACACCAGUGGCGAAGGCGGCCUCCUGGGCCAUUCCUGACGCUCAGACGCGAAAGCUAGGGUAGCAAACG